AGAACGAACGCUGGCGGCAGGCCUCAAACAUGCAAGUCUAGGGGGUGUAGCAAUACAUCACCGGCGGACGGGUGCGUAACACGUGGGAAUAUACCUUUUGGUUCGGAACAACGCAGGGAAACUUGCGCUAAUACCGAAUGUGCCCUUACGGGGAAAGAUUUAUCGCCAAAGGAUUAGCCCGCGUAGGAUUAGCUAGUUGGUGAGGUAAUGGCUCACCAAGGCUCCGAUCCUUAGCUGUUCUGAGAGGAAGAUCAGCCACACUGGGACUGAGACACGGCCCAGACUCCUACGGGAGGCAGCAGUUGGGAAUCUUGGACAAUGGGGGAAACCCUGAUCCAGCCAUGCCGCGUGAGUGAUGAAGGCCUUCGGGUUGUAAACUCUUUCGACGGGACGAUAAUGACGGUACCGUAGAAGAAGCUCCGGCUAACUUCGUGCCAGCAGCCGC
rnacentral:rRNA from 1 species